rnacentral:misc_RNA from 1 species
GGAAGUAAAAUCGUAACAAGGUUUCCGUAGGUGAACCUGCGGAAGGAUCAUUAAAGAAUGCCCCGUUUUUCGAAAUGGGUUCUAUUCCCAAACCGUGUCUACAUACCUUUGUUGCUUUGGCGGGCCGCCUUCGGGCGUUGGCCUCGGCUAACUAUGCCCGCCAGAGGACCCAAACUCGUUUUGUUUAGUGAUGUCUGAGUGCUAUAAAAUAGUUAAAACUUUCAACAACGGAUCUCUUGGUUCUG